AAGGUCUCCGUUGGUGAGCCAGCGGAGGGAUCAUUA
rnacentral:rRNA from 2 species